CUCUGCCGGUCCCUGCCCCGCCGGUCCCUGCCGCGGCCGCUCCUGGGAGAUGUAGUUUGUGGCGCCACGCCGCCCGGAGCCAUGGCCGCCCCGUGAGCAUUUGGAGCAUGUGAGGAGCUGCCAGAGAAAAUCUCUAAUAUUUUAAUUUCUGCUGCUUCAGGGUGGUCUCUGCAGGGUGAAGAUUUUGCGGCUGGGGGAAGAGGAGAGAGGAAGACAGCCUAGCUGGAGAAAUGAGGGCAUCUGUGAAGAAGCUGGCUGAGCAUCGCAGGAGCUGCAGGAACAUUUACUUGACUCCUUGUUUCUGAAGAAAGAUGCUCCUGCCCCAGUCUGUGCCUGUACAAGUGUGACAGUCAUCGGUGCGGGGCGCAGCUUGCUGUGGGACAGGCAAUACCAGCACGAAGCCAAGAUGGUGGCAUUUAACUGGAAGGCUUUGGAGAAUUUCCCAUUGCUGAUGUACAUUUUGGCAGCUAAAACAUUGAUUCUUUGCUUGGCGUUUGCUGGAGUAAAAAUGUACCAGAGCAAAAAAAUUGAAGAAAAACUGAAGAGGGAGCAUGAAAAGAAAUUGAAAGCAGAAGCAGAGAAGAAGGAUGACUGAAGAGUCUCUCAGAUUUUCUGACACUUGGCAGCUUGCAUUGGAUUCCUUUCCUGGAAGAACGAAGCCUUCCUGUAGAUGAAGGAUGUGUCAAAGGAAUAAAACCCUCAAGAGUAACAUUCACUUAAACUGUAUCUCAAGUUUUUAUAUGUACAGCGAAAUAUCUGAGCCUCUAUUUAUGCAAUAAAAAAUCCUUUGUUAGAAAAA